UUAAUUGUGGAAGAAAGUCAAGCUCCUUUGCUUACCAUUUGUCUGUAGGUCCUAACCUUUCAUUUUGCAUGACUCAAUUGUGACUGACUCACGUGGUAAAGAUCAAGCUCUUGUCAUCCACUAUGAAAAAACUUUCAUGUGUCUAGGUGGACCAGCCCCAUCUCUGGAUGUUGGAUGAUCUCCCUAUAUCUGCACCAAAUGUCUCCCUUUUCUUGGCCAGUUGACCCCUGCUUGCCCAGGGCCCCAGGGGCUGAGUUGCUCCUCUUCUUCACUUCGCUGCAUUGCUUAACCCAAAAAGAUUAGAUAUUCUUCAAAAACUCUACAAAUUCCAAACAAAAUUACUUCUAUGGAAUCUGAUUCCAGGAGUCCAUUCAAGUCCAAGAAAGCAAAAUCGUUCAAGUUUCUUCACAAAAAAGACAAGGAAAAAGAAGACAGAGAAGAUAAAAAGAAAGAAAAAGAAGAA
rnacentral:lncRNA from 1 species